CCCGAGUGGUGUCUGGGAUACACUUUUGCUGCAAAAGUUCUAUUGGUGUGUAUCCAAUAUGAUUACUGCCCCACUCCUAUAGACUGUAAGCUCGUUUGAGCAGGGUCCUCUUCAACCUUUUGUUCCUGUAAGUUUUCUUGUAAUUGUCCUAUUUAUAGUUAAAUCCCCCCUCUCAUAAUAUUGUAAAGUGCUACGGAAUUGGUUGGCGCUAUAUAAAUGGAGAUAAUAAUACACACAAAGCACAAAUGAUUUGCCAAUGUUUCUCAUGUGACCUUUGCAUAAGCAAAUUUAACGUCAAAUGUAGAAACCACAAUAAAUAG